rnacentral:rRNA from 1 species
AGGACGAACGCUGGCGGCGUGCUUAACACAUGCAAGUCGAGCGGAAAGGCCCUUCGGGGUACUCGAGCGGCGAACGGGUGAGUAACACGUGAGUAAUCUGCCCUUAGCUCUGGGAUAGCUCCGGGAAACCGGGAUUAAUACCAGAUAUGGCCACACUAGACAUCUGGUGUGGUGGAAAGGAUUCCGGCUAGGGAUGAGCUCGCGGCCUAUCAGCUUGUGGUGGGUAACGCCUACCAAGGCGACGACGGGUA